CGCGCGCGUUCGGUGGCCUGUUAUUGGAAUUGGCUAAUUUCGAACGGAAAAUAGCCCAUGUUUAACCCAAGAUAACUUUAUAACUAAAGGCUAUUUUGAUUUAAUUUUUUCGUGUGUUUGUUAAAGAAGGAUAGAUCUAAAACACAAGGCAAUUUUAAAAGUCCAACAAGCUCAAACAAGAAUUUAAUUUGCAAUGGAAUAAGUUGAAUUUUGAGUAUCGCGACGCCAUCGAAAUCAUGCGGCACCGGCGUGCGACGAUGACAUGUCGUGUUCAAACGUAAAUCCGGAGUGAUCUCUGGGGUCAUAUGGGACAAUAUUGGUAUCAAAAGAAAGAGGAGAACCUCAGCUAUCCACCAAUGUCCUAUUCUUUCGAGUUUUUGACUUGGAAAGAUUAUUUCAUGCGAAAAACAAGACUUUUUUGUGUUUUUAAACAUUUUCUGGUGCGAAAUGUCAGAAGAAUCAGAAAUCCGAACGAAUUUCGCCACGCCAUUGAGCACUGUGAAAGAAGCAUUAUGUGAAAAUUGUCGCAACUUUAACGACGACGAUUUGCGUUUGCUUAUUUGGAAAUGGGGCGAAGCCUGGCUGGAAAGUAUUCAUCCCUAUCAUACUGUAUAACAUGGUCAUGGAUUGAAAGUGUUAAUGGCUUCAAUUUUAUGGAUCCUUAGGCUUAGCCUGAAUCAGUAAAUGAGUCACAAGAACAGUAUGUAGGAAAAUGUAUCUGUUGAUAAGCAGUCCAGUUUCAUGUACAUAGUCCAGCAGUUUUUAUGUCCAAAUCUUUGAAAGGUAUUAUUAUUAUUAUUAUUUGUAAAAAUAAUUAUUUUCCUAUGUGAAAUGCCUAAAAUAAAUAGAUUCACAAUAAUGUGACGUCAUCUGUGACGUCAUGGAUCCGUUGUGUUGUCAUGGAAACAGGCAUGUGGAGUUCAUUCCGAAUUUUUUAGUGCUUAAAGUAACAAAAUUGUUGAAAUAUUUCAUUAUAAUGCUCAGGAUAGGAAUAUAGUAAUACAAGGUUACUAUAAACUGUAAACUUACAAUGACGUCGUUGUGACGUCAUCAAGUUUUCAUGGUAACACAAUUUUGUAACAUUGUUUGAACAAUUAUGACAACAUUGAUGUAUAUAUGUCAUAGAGUACGUUACUAUAAAUUUUAUAAGUCAUAAAUUAUCUACUUGCACUUCUCGUAAGCUUUUUUGUCAUUUAAUGACGUCAUAAUCGUUGCCAUGGCAACGAUAAGUGUCCGAUUGUUACAUCGUAUUGUGUCUUUACAUACAACCAGUCGACUCUGAAAAUUUCGUGGUGAUUGGAUAAAAAUUCUAGAAGUUAUACCCUUUUAUGUUAAAAAAAUAGUUUAAAGUCGCGCAUUUUGGUGCCAUGUUAAACACCUAGUUGUAACACCUUUACACCUACGCAUCUUCCAAAAUUUGGCCUAAAAUUCCGACCUUUAAACUGUCAUAACUUUUGAUUGCCUUAACCGAUUUUGAUGAAACAAACACCAAAAUGUUUCAAAUGACGAGAUGAAUCAAACUAGCGUAUUUGCGGAGCCC